rnacentral:lncRNA from 1 species
UACCUUGAGAUUGGGCACAAGAGCUUUGCUCCAGGGUGCAUUCUGCACCCAAGAAAGCAACCUCUAUGGGGUUAAAAACGGACCUGUUGAAAACAGUAUGAUUCCUGGGUUUCAUAACUUCCAAAAGGCAUAUGCUGAACAUUUGAUUUGCUAACUGAUCUUAUCAGAUUAGCCACUGAAGCAGCCAAGAGUUGAGGUUCAUACGAUGAAGAACAUGGAAACCCAAUUGAG